rnacentral:rRNA from 1 species
GACGAACGCUGGCGGCGUGCUUAACACAUGCAAGUGGAGCGACGAACCAGGCUUCGGCCUGGGGCAGAGCCGCGAACGGGUGAGUAACACGUGGGUGACCUGCCCUCAGCUCUGGGAUAAGCCUGGGAAACUGGGUCUAAUACCGGAUAUGACUCCAUGACGCAUGUUGUGGGGUGGAAAGCCUUGUGCGGCUGAGGAUGGGCCCGCGGCCUAUCAGCUUGUUGGUGGGGUGAUGGCCUACCAAGGCGACGACGGGUAGCCGGCCUGAGAGGGCGACCGGCCACACUGGGACUGAGACACGGCCCAGACUCCUACGGGAGGCAGCAGUGGGGAAUCUUGCGCAAUGGGCGAAAGCCUGACGCAGCGACGCCGCGUGAGGGAUGACGGCC